rnacentral:ncRNA from 2 species
CGGUGGGGUAGAGGCGCAGAUAAGAAGAGUAUACUAUGUGAGGAUGACAACUGAGAACAUAGUAGAAAGGAUUAUUUGCCGAAGUUUUAUUAGAUUGUCAAACUAGUAAGACUGGGGUUAUCUUGAAAAAGGGUAACACUGUCAUUGUAAGGGAAUCCUUAUAAUGGGGAGCUACAGAUCGU